rnacentral:rRNA from 1 species
CAGCAGCCGCGGGAAUACAUAGGUGGCGAGCGUUGUCCGGAUUUAUUGGGCGUAAAGCGAGCGCAGGCGGUCAAUUAAGUCUGAUGUGAAAGCCCCCGGCUCAACCGGGGAGGGUCAUUGGAAACUGGUUGACUUGAGUGCAGAAGAGGAGAGUGGAAUUCCAUGUGUAGCGGUGAAAUGCGUAGAGAUGUGGAGGAACACCAGUGGCGAAGGCGACUCUCUGGUCUGUAACUGACGCUGAGGAGCGAAAGCGUGGGGAGCGAACAGGAUUAGAUACCCCUGUAGUCCCUGUCUCUUAUAA